rnacentral:rRNA from 1 species
AUUGAACGCUGGCGGCAGGCCUAACACAUGCAAGUCGAACGGUAACAGGAAGCAGCUUGCUGCUUCGCUGACGAGUGGCGGACGGGUGAGUAAUGUCUGGGAAGCUGCCUGAUGGAGGGGGAUAACUACUGGAAACGGUAGCUAAUACCGCAUAAUGUCGCAAGACCAAAGAGGGGGACCUUCGGGCCUCUUGCCAUCGGAUGUGCCCAGAUGGGAUUAGCUUGUUGGUGGGGUAACGGCUCACCAAGGCGACGAUCCCUAGCUGGUCUGAGAGGAUGACCAGCCACACUGGAACUGAGACACGGUCCAGACUCCUACGGGAGGCAGCAGUGGGGAAUAUUGCACAAUGGGCGCAAGCCUGAUGCAGCCAUGCCGCGUGUAUGAAGAAGGCCUUCGGGUUGCAAAGUACUUUCAGCGGGGAGGAAGGGAGUAAAGUUAAUACCUUUGCUCAUUGACGUUACCCGUAGAAGAAGCACCGGCUAACUCCGUG